UCCCGUUUAGCUCAGUUGGUAGAGCGCGUCACUAGUACCUAGCUAAGGGUAAUGACGAGGUCAGUCGUUCGAGUCGGCUAAUGGGAA